rnacentral:rRNA from 1 species
GGGUGCGAUCAUACCAGCACUAAUGCACCGGAUCCCAUCAGAACUCCGAAGUUAAGCAUGCUUGGGCGAGAGUAGCACUUGGAUGGGUGACCUCCUGCGAAGUCCUCGUGUUGCACCCC